AUUUUCGACAACAUGGCGUCGAUUUGUUGUUGUUAGAAAAAGUUCCAUGUAAAAAAUAACCCAUAAAUGGUAUAAGAUACUCAAAGUUGUCUACAAAUAGACAUUUUUAGAGUUAUAUUGAUUUAUAGAUAUGGGUGAUAAUGAAGACACUAAAAUCACAGAGAAAAUACAUUUAACUUCUGCAUUCAGCAAUUUGAAAGUGAGGCAGGACCAUAGCAAUUUCCCUGCAGGAUGUGAUCAGCACUUGAAAUUACCCGGAGGAAGUGACAGAAAUGAACUAGAUGCAUUGUGGACAUCUGGGAAGAGAAGGGUGCUGUAGUUAAAAGUUCUAUCAAACAUCAGAAGAAAGUGUCAAAAAGGAUGGAGCCUUACCCACAAGAGGUCAUAUUUUCUAUGCAGAAAAUAUCUCUGGAUCAUGAAAAGUGUGAUAAUAAGCAGUGUAUGUGUUCAAAGCAGGAGUCUCUGUCAGAGACAGAGAAAAAAUUCAAUUAUGCCAAAGUUGCCAACUUUACACCUUCUCCUCGAAAAUACAUAAGGGAUGCUCGACUGAAAGUUCACCAUUCAGAAAAAGACAGGAAACAUGUAAUAAGGGCGGCUCGAUUGAAGUUAAUUAAACAAGGAAAGCAGGGUGACAAAAUUCCGUUGCAAAUGGAGAGAUCUAAACUACCAGUGGCAGGGUCUUCUAAUUCCCAAGCAGAUAGUACAUUUUUGUUUGGAUCAGGGUGUAAAAGUAACCUAGAAAAUUUCUCCUCUCUCAGUCAGGCCUCAAGGGAGACAACCAGGGAUUUGGAGUACACCAGUCUUCACAAAAAGUUGAAAUCUUCCAGCCAUAAACAUCAUUUUAGGUCCAAAACUGAUCCCUUUGAUUUUUCCAGUGCGAACAGUGCUUUGAGCUCGGACAACUUAAAGAGCAAGAAUUCAGACCCGUAUUUAGAGAGAAGUUGUUCUCAGGAGGCAAGAUUAGAUGAUAUGACAGUCAACGAACUGGCUUGUUAUUUUGAUGAUUUUGUGUAUAUUCCCAAGAAAAUGUCCAGUAUGGCUGAAAUGAUGUAUAUUUAGGGUGCCAAAUGAAAGAACAGUAAGCAAAGGGUAUUGCAUUGUACUGGUGUUUUACACUAGUAUGAUUAGCCUCAGAAAUCUGAAGGAUUUUACCAUUUUGAGUGAAAUAAAAUUCAUUUUUUUUAAUUGUUUAAUGAAAAUUUAUAGAUACACUAAAGGAUGCCUAAACCUUUUCUAUUCCUUUUAUUUUUAAAAAGGAUUUUUGUUGUUUUUUUCCGACUUGCUUUUCAUUUUGGUGGUUGUAGUUUUGAUUUCUUUAAAAAAGAGGAAAGAACUUAUGGUAAGUUGUAGAACUGCAGGUGAUUUUAGAUCUUUAUUUGAAUAGAAAAGGAGUUGUUUUUUUUACAAUUCUCGAAUUUUGCCCAUACACUAAACAUUACCUGUAAUUUUGGGUUGUUUUUUUUUGUUUUGUUAAAUUAAUGCUCUAAAAGUUAAAAAAUGUCCUUAGUAUUGAUGCAUUUGAAAUACAUUGAAAAAUUACAAAAAUUGUGGAUAUAAAUACCUUAAGAAUUUGAUAUAUUUAAAAGCAUUUCCAGUAAAAUCAUUUUUGAAUCUUUUUGUUUGUUGGUACAAAGUAAUGUGGUACAUUACUCUUCACAAUUUUGUAUAUGUGUGUACUGUUUAAAUAAACUGCAUCCAAAAUGUUUCUCAAAUAGUU
rnacentral:misc_RNA from 1 species